rnacentral:rRNA from 1 species
GGGAAUCUGCCCUUGGGUUCGGAAUAACAGUUAGAAAUGACUGCUAAUACCGGAUGAUGUCUUCGGACCAAAGAUUUAUUGCCCAAGGAUGAGCCCGCGUCGGAUUAGCUAGUUGGUGAGGUAAAGGCUCACCAAGGCGACGAUCCGUAGCUGGUCUGAGAGGAUGAUCAGCCACACUGGGACUGAGACACGGCCCAGACUCCUACGGGAGGCAGCAGUGGGGAAUAUUGGACAAUGGGCGAAAGCCUGAUCCAGCAAUGCCGCGUGAGUGAUGAAGGCCUUAGGGUUGUAAAGCUCUUUUACCCGGGAUGAUAAUGACAGUACCGGGAGAAUAAGCCCCGGCUAACUCCGUGCCAGCAGCCGCGGUAAUACGGAGGGGGCUAGCGUUGUUCGGAAUUACUGGGCGUAAAGCGCACGUAGGCGGCUUUGUAAGUUAGAGGUGAAAGCCCGGAGCUCAACUCCGGAACUGCCUUUAAGACUGCAUCGCUUGAAUCAUGGAGAGGUUAGUGGAAUUCCGAGU